rnacentral:tRNA from 1 species
GUGGAUGUAGCUCAGUCUGGAUAGAGCACUAGAUUGUGGAUCUAGGGGUCGCGGGUUCAAGUCCCGUCAUCCACCCCA